rnacentral:rRNA from 1 species
GACGAACGCUGGCGGCGUGCUUAACACAUGCAAGUCGAACGGAAAGGCCCUGCUUGCAGGGUACUCGAGUGGCGAACGGGUGAGUAACACGUAGGUGAUCUGCCCUGCACUUCGGGAUAAGCCUGGGAAACUGGGUCUAAUACCGGAUAGGAGCCAUUUUUAGUGUGAUGGUUGGAAAGUUUUUUCGGUGUAGGAUGAGCUCGCGGCCUAUCAGCUUGUUGGUGGGGUAAUGGCCUACCAAGGCGGCGACGGGUAGCCGGCCUGAGAGGGUGGACGGCCACAUUGGGACUGAGAUACGGCCCAGACUCCUACGGGAGGCAGCAGUGGGGAAUAUUGCACAAUGGGAGCAAGCCUGAUGCAGCGACGCCGCGUGGGGGAUGACGGCCUUCGGGUUGUAAACUCCUUUCGCUAGGGACGAAGCUUUUUGUGACGGUACCUAGAUAAGAAGCACCGGCUAACUACGUG